rnacentral:rRNA from 1 species
ACAGUGGACGCGAGCAUCUUUGUUGUAAGUGUUUAAGAGCGUACGGUGGAUGCCUUGGCACCAGGAGCCGAUGAAGGACGUAGGAGGCUGCGAUAAGCCUCGGGGAGCUGUCAACCGAGCUGAGAUCCGAGGAUGUCCGAAUGGGGAAACCCAGCCACAGUGAUGUGUGGUUACCCGCGCCUGAAUAUAUAGGGCGUGUGGAGGGAACGUGGGGAAGUGAAACAUCUCAGUACCCACAGGAAGAGAAAACAACAUGUGAUUCCGUGAGUAGUGGCGAGCGAAAGCGGAAGAGGCUAAACCAUGGGUGUGUGAUAGCCGGCGGGCGUUGCAUUCGUGGGGUUGUGGGAUCCGUCUUGUCAAUUCUGCCGGAUUGGCCGACAGUGAGAAAUCAUCGUGUUAGUCGAAGUGGUCUGGAACGGCCUGUCGUAGAGGGUGAGAGUCCCGUAGACGAAAACAUGGUGACUGUCGUGACGGACACCCGAGUAGCAGCGGGCCCGUGAAAUCUGCUGUGAAUCUGUCGGGACCACCCGAUAAGCCUGAAUACUCCCUGGUGACCGAUAGCGGACUAGUACCGUGAGGGAAAGGUGAAAAGUACCCCGGGAGGGGAGUGAAAUAGUACCUGAAACCGUGCGCUUACAAUCCGUCAGAGCCUGCGCCACUUUUGGUGGGUGGGUGAUGGCGUGCCUUUUGAAGAAUGAGCCUGCGAGUUAGCGGCAUGUCGCGAGGUUAACCCGUGUGGGGUAGCCGUAGCGAAAGCGAGUCCGAAUAGGGCGUUUGUAGUGGCAUGUUCUAGACCCGAAGCGGAGUGAUCUACCCAUGGCCAGGGUGAAGCGACGGUAAGACGUCGUGGAGGCCCGAACCCACUUAGGUUGAAAACUGAGGGGAUGAGCUGUGGGUAGGGGUGAAAGGCCAAUCAAACUCCGUGAUAGCUGGUUCUCCCCGAAAUGCAUUUAGGUGCAGCGUCGCGUGUUUCACUCUGGAGGUAGAGCUACUGGAUGGCCGAUGGGCCCCACAAGGUUACUGACGUCAGCCAAACUCCGAAUGCCAGAGUGUGAGAGCGCGGCAGUGAGACUGCGGGGAUAAGCUUCGUAGUCGAGAGGGAAACAGCCCAGAUCGCCGGCUAAGGCCCCUAAGCGUGUACUAAGUGGAAAAGGAUGUGGGGUCGCGAAGACAACCAGGAGGUUGGCUUAGAAGCAGCCACCCUUGAAAGAGUGCGUAAUAGCUCACUGGUCAAGUGAUCCUGCGCCGACAAUGUAGCGGGGCUCAAGUACACCGCCGAAGCCGCGGCAUUCACAUAACACCCAUGCGGGUCUACGGGCCUGUGUGCAGUGGUGUGGAUGGGUAGGGGAGCGUCGUGCAGCCAUGGAAGCGCCGGAGUGAUCCAGGUGUGGAGGCUGCACGAGUGAGAAUGCAGGCAUGAGUAGCGAAAGACGAGUGAGAAACUCGUCCGCCGAAUGACCAAGGGUUCCUGGGCCAGGUUAAUCCGCCCAGGGUGAGUCGGGACCUAAGGCGAGGCCGACAGGCGUAGUCGAUGGACAACGGGUUGAUAUUCCCGUACCCGUGUGAACGCGCCCCUGGUGAAUCAGUGAUGCUAAGCGCCCUGAAGCCGCCUUCGAACCUUCGGGUUCUCCGGUGUGUGGAUGCGCGUGAACCGAUCUGGUAGUAGCCAAGCGAUGGGUGACGCAGGAAGGUAGCUGAGCCAGUCAGUGGUAAUACUGGUGUAAGCGUGUAGGGCGUGACCUAGGCAAAUCCGGGUCACACACAGCCUGAGACGUGAUGCGUAGCCGAUUGAGGCGAAUUCAGUGAUCCUAUGCUGCCGAGAAAAGCCUCUAGCGAGCUUUCACACGGCCCGUACCCCAAACCGACACAGGUGGUCAGGUAGAGAAUACUAAGGCGAUCGAGAUAACUGUGGUUAGGAACUCGGCAAAAUGCCCCGUAACUUCGGGAGAAGGGGGGCCUCGUCUGGUGACGGAACUUGCUUCCUGAGCUGGGUGGGGCCGCAGAGACCAGAGAGAAGCGACUGUUUACUAAAAACACAGGUCCGUGCGAAGUCGUAAGACGAUGUAUACGGACUGACGCCUGCCCGGUGCUGGAAGGUUAAGAGGACCGGUUAGCCAGUAAUGGCGAAGCUGAGAAUUUAAGCCCCAGUAAACGGCGGUGGUAACUAUAACCAUCCUAAGGUAGCGAAAUUCCUUGUCGGGUAAGUUCCGACCUGCACGAAUGGCGUAACGACUUCUCUCUGUCUCAACCACAGACUCGGCGAAAUUGCAUUACGAGUAAAGAUGCUCGUUACGCGCGGCAGGACGAAAAGACCCCGGGACCUUCACUAUAGCUUGGUAUUGGUGUUCGGUUCGGUUUGUGUAGGAUAGGUGGGAGACUGUGAAGCGGGCACGCCAGUGUUCGUGGAGUCGUUGUUGAAAUACCACUCUGAUCGUAUUGGACAUCUAACCUCGGACCAUGAUCUGGUUCAGGGACAGUGCCUGGUGGGUAGUUUAACUGGGGCGGUUGCCUCCCAAAAUGUAACGGAGGCGCCCAAAGGUUCCCUCAGCCUGGUUGGCAAUCAGGUGUCGAGUGCAAGUGCACAAGGGAGCUUGACUGUGAGACUGACAGGUCGAGCAGGGACGAAAGUCGGGACUAGUGAUCCGGCACCGGCAAGUGGAAGCGGUGUCGCUCAACCGGAUAAAGUACCCCGGGAUAACAGGCUGAUUCUCCCCAAGAGUCCAUAUCGACGGGAUGGUUUGGCACCUCGAUGUCGGCUCGUCGCAUCCUGGGGCUGGAGUAGGUCCCAAGGGUUGGGCUGUUCGCCCAUUAAAGCGGCACGCGAGCUGGGUUUAGAACGUCGUGAGACAGUUCGGUCUCUAUCCGCCGCGCGCGUUAGAAACUGAGGAAGGCUGUCCCUAGUACGAGAGGACCGGGACGGACGAACCUCUGGUGUGCCAGUUGUUCCGCCAGGAGCACUGCUGGUUAGCUACGUUCGGAAGGGAUAACCGCUGAAAGCAUCUAAGCGGGAAGCCUGUUCCAAGAUGAGGUUUCCUCACCCCCUCGAGGGGGUAAGGCCCCCGA